GAUGAACGCUGGCGGCGUGCCUAAUACAUGCAAGUCGAGCGAACAGAUGAGGAGCUUGCUCCUCUGACGUUAGCGGCGGACGGGUGAGUAACACGUGGAUAACCUACCUAUAAGACUGGGAUAACUUCGGGAAACCGGAGCUAAUACCGGAUAAUAUAUUGAACCGCAUGGUUCAAUAGUGAAAGACGGUUUUGCUGUCACCUAUAGAUGGAUCCGCGCCGCAUUAGCUAGUUGGUAAGGUAACGGCUUACCAAGGCAACGAUGCGUAGCUGACCUGAGAGGGUGAUCGGCCACACUGGAACUGAGACACGGUCCAGACUCCUACGGGAGGCAGCAGUAGGGAAUCUUCCGCAAUGGGCGAAAGCCUGACGGAGCAACGCCGCGUGAGUGAUGAAGGUCUUCGGAUCGUAAAACUCUGUUAUUAGGGAAGAACAAAUGUGUAAGUAACUAUGCACGUCUUGACGGUACCUAAUCAGAAAGCCACGGCUAACUACGUG
rnacentral:rRNA from 1 species